GUCUUUUUGAUAAUAAUUUAAAGUCUCGCCUGCCCACUGAAAUUUUAAAUGGCCGCGGUAUUUUGACCGUGCAAAGGUAGCAUAAUCAUUAGUUUUUUAAUUGAAAGCUGGAAUGAAUGGUUGGAUAAGGAAAAAGCUGUCUCAUAUUAAGAUUUUUGAAUUUUAUUUUUAAGUUAAAAAGCUUAAAUAAAUUUAAAAGACGAGAAGACCCUAUAGAGUUUUAUAAAUUUAUAUAAUAAAGAUUUUAGUAUUGAUAUUUUAUUAUAGAGUAUUUAUUUGAUUGGGGUGAUUGAAAAAUUAAGUGAACUUUUUUUUUAUUAAAACAUAAAUUAAUGAGUAAUUGAUCCAUUUUAUGAUUAAAAGAUUAAAUUACCUUAGGGAUAACAGCGUAAUUUUUUCGGAGAGUUCUAAUCGAUGAAAGAGAUUGCGACCUCGAUGUUGGAUUAAAAUAAAUUUUUGGUGUAGAAGCUAAUAAAUUAGGUCUGUUCGACCUUUAAUAUUUUACA
rnacentral:rRNA from 1 species